UACGAAGGUGGCAAGCGUUGUUCGGAUUUACUGGGCGUAAAGGGAGCGUAGGUGGUUAGGUAAGCCCUCCGGGAAAUCUUCAGGCUUAACCUGAAAAGGUCGGGGGGGACUGCCUAGCUAGAGGGCGGGAGAGGAGCGCGGAAUUCCCGGGUGUAGCGGUGAAAUGCGUAGAGAUCGGGAGGAAGGCCGGUGGCGAAGGCGGCGCUCUGGAACGUUUCUGGACACUGAGGCUCGAAAGCGUGGGGAGCGAACGGG
rnacentral:rRNA from 1 species